CCUUCCAUAUUUCAAGGAGGACUAGGUUUACAUAAAUACGUCAUUACGUGUCACAAUAUUCCAGACGAAGGAAUAAAUAAAACUGUCGCACACGUAUUUCAAGAAAAAGAGUACAAGGAACUUCCAAUAAACUAUAAAGAAGUUGAAUCUGUUGAGAUGCGCUUUAAAGCAAUCAAUGAUUUUGCUGCUCCCGACAUCAGUUCUGUGUACAUUGGAGACGAAUUCUACAUGUUCAUCAAAUACAUGGGAGAGCAGAAUUAUUCAGUAAUUCCUGAGAUGUGUACAGCCUUUGGGGAAACGUGGAUUUCAAAAGGAUUCAAAACAGACCCAAAAAAUUCAGUGGAGUUGUGGAACAUUAAUAAAAACAA